rnacentral:rRNA from 1 species
GACGAACCACACAAACGUUAUUCGGAAUUACUGGGCUUAAAGGGUGCGUAGGCGGCGCGGAAAGUAGGGUGUGAAAUCCCUCGGCUCAACCGAGGAAUUGCGCCCUAAACUACCGUGCUCGAGGGAGAUAGAGGUGAGCGGAACUUAGGGUGGAGCGGUGAAAUGCGUUGAUAUCCUAAGGAACACCGGUGGCGAAAGCGGCUCACUGGAUCUCUUCUGACGCUGAGGCACGAAAGCUAGGGUAGCG